AACUCAUGGAAAUGCAAGGUUUAUUCAUGCUCCAAAAAACCCAGGGUUUUUCCACCGUCUCUGCUGCUGCGUCUCUUAUAAAAACUGGUCCUGAAGAAGUGAAGGGUUUAUUCUUAUGUCAGGGGGAAUAGCGAGAAGAGAAGGGGCCACGGGGACUUUUUUUGAUAAAGGAAAACCAUCCAGAAGCUGUUGGGGUGGGGAAUCAGAACCCAGGAUUUCCUCUCCCUUGAUCAGCAGAGAGACUUCUGGCAGCAGAGAGCUGGAUAGUCAGGAGACAUUUUGCAAGGACUCCACAACUGAAGCCACACUAACAAGGUGACGUGAACCCCAAUGGCUUCACAGCUCUAUGUUCUCAUCAGCUGGCCUGACGGGAGCAGAGUCAUCAAUAUAGAAAACAUCAAAGAGCCCCAAAAACCAGUUCACCUGUAUUCAGUGGGUGAGCAGGUGCUAGCCCAGUGUCCCGGCUUCUGUGGCUUAUACUGGGGGGUCGUGGAAGACGUAAGUGAGUGUCAGGAUGUCCUGGAGAAGAAACUUCAGAAAGAGAAACACCUACUUAAAAAAUUCAAGAAGGGGCCAGAAGCAUUUGGCCCCCUGCCCACUGAUAAGAAGUCGAAGAAGAGUUUUCCCAACUGGGUACCGGGCAUACCACCAAAGAAAAAUCAAGGUGGCAGAAUUCUUCCUGUUGACUACCCAUCGGUAUCAGCCCCCCAGAAUGCUCCUGCUGCUUCUCAUAUCACCUCUCCCCUUACCGAGGAAAGGGUCAUUCCAGAGCCACCCGUCAUCCACCAUGCCAUAACCCCACAGUCUCCGUUGGUCAGUGCUUUUAGCUUCCCCGCUUCCUUCCUGGAUCAGGAUGAAGCAGGGACAUCUCAGAAAGAAGAGGCAGACCCCCAGCUGAAGAAUGAAACAGAGACCAGAGGUUGUGUUACCCUGGCACUGAAAAGGAAGGCGGAUGGCAUUGUAGUUCAGUGUCAAGAACAUGUCCCCAGAGCAAGGGAGAAGAUCGGCCAACUGGAGCGACUGGUGUGGGAUUUGCAGCGGGAAGUGAUUUCCCUGAAGAAGAAGGUUCAGAAGUUGGAAUCUGCAUCUCUGCGGGAAGAAGCCCCCGGACCACAGUUCCAGAUGGUGGAGUUGUUCAAUGGCUACACCAGGGAGCAGUUGAGAGAGACCAUCCGCUUUGACCAGAAGGUCAGCACAGCCUGCAAGACGCUGCUCUAUAAGCUCUUCACCUCCGACUACAUCCAGAGCCACUCCAUCACAGGCCGCAGGGGAAACACUUUUAGGGAGGCCAAGCCCAUGAUGGACGAGCGCUGCAUCAAGGUCAUCCGCCUCCUGUUGAAGCAGAAGUUCGGGGAUCACCUCAGUGACACAGUCAUCACCGAGAAGAUCCAAAAUGUGCAGAAAGCUCUGAGGCAGAAGUACAAGGCAGAGUGUCUGUAA
rnacentral:lncRNA from 1 species